UACGUAGGGGGCAAGCGUUGUCCGGAAUCAUUGGGCGUAAAGAGCGUGUAGGUGGCUCGGUAAGUCCGCUGUGAAAGUCCAGGGCUCAACCCUGGAAAGCCGGUGGAAACUGUCGAGCUCGAGUCCGGAAGAGGCGAGUGGAAUUCCUGGUGUAGCGGUGAAAUGCGCAGAUAUCGGGAAGAACACCCGUGGCGAAGGUGGCUCUCUGGGACGGUACUGACGCUGAGGUGCGAAAGCGUGGGGAGCAAACCGG
rnacentral:rRNA from 1 species